rnacentral:rRNA from 1 species
CCUACGGGUGGCAGCAGUGAGGAAUAUUGGUCAAUGGCCGGAAGGCUGAACCAGCCAAGCCGCGUGAAGGACGAAGGUGCCAAGCAUUGUAAACUUCUUUUGUCAAGGGACAAAAUCAGGCUCGAGAGCCUGACCGAGGGUACUUGAAGAAAAAGCAUCGGCUAACUCCGUGCCAGCAGCCGCGGUAAUACGGAGGAUGCGAGCGUUAUCCGGAUUUAUUGGGUUUAAAGGGUGCGUAGGCGGAUUGUUAAGUCAGCGGUAAAAUGCCGGGGCUCAACCCCGGCGAGCCGUUGAAACUGGCGGUCUUGAGAGGUCGAGAAGUAUGCGGAAUGCGCGGUGUAGCGGUGAAAGGCUUAGAUAUCGCGCAGAACUCCGAUUGCGAAGGCAGCAUACCGGCGGCGCUCUGACGCUGAGGCACGAAAGCGUGGGUAUCGAACAGGAUUAGAUACCCUUGUAGUC